rnacentral:tRNA from 1 species
GCCCAGGUGAUGGAAUUGGUAGACAUAAGGGACUUAAAAUCCCUCGGCCUCUGGCCGUGCCGGUUCAAGUCCGGCCCUGGGUACCA